CAGCUAGCUUAUCCACCAAUUUAACCAAACAAUAUAAAUAAAAUAAAAAAGAACGAACACCAAAAACUAAACCAUUCUUUUACCUGAGUAUGGGCGACAGAAAAGGUUCAACCAAAGCAAUAGAAAUAGUACCGCAAGGGAAAGCUGAAAGAGAAAUGAAAUAACCCAUACAAGCACUAAAAAGCAAAGACUAAGCCUUGUACCUUUUGCAUCAUGAUUUAGCCAGUAAACACAAGCAAAGAGACCUUUAGUUUGAAACCCCGAAACCAGGUGAGCUACCCCGAGACAGCCUAUUAAGGGCCAACCCGUCUCUGUGGCAAAAGAGUGGGAAGAGCUCCGGGUAGAAGUGACAGACCUACCGAACCUGGUGAUAGCUGGUUGCCUAAGAAAUGAAUAGAAGUUCAGCCUCGUACACCUCAAAUCAAAUAAGCACUAAUCAAGAUAUCAAGAGAAAAACACGAGAGUUAGUUAAAGGGGGUACAGCCCCUUUAAUAAAGGAUACAACCUUAUCCAGGAGGAUAAAGAUCAUAAUAUAUAAAAUAUACUGUUCUAGUGGGCCUAAAGGCAGCCACCUAAAUAGAAAGCGUUAAAGCUCAGACAGAGAGAAAUUUAUUAUUCUGAUAAAAAAUCUUAUUCCCCUAACUACUAUUAGGCUAGUCCAUGCCCCCAUGGAAGAAAUUAUGCUAAAAUGAGUAACAAGAAGGCCCGCCCUUCUCCAAGCACAAGUGUAAGCCAAACCGGACCAACCAUUGGCAACUAACGAACUCAACCCAAGAGAGCAAUGUGAACCAUAAAAAAAUCAAGAAAACCCCACAACUCAACAAUCGUUACCCCCACACUGGAGUGCUAUUUAUAGGAAAGACUAAAAGAAAAGGAAGGAACUCGGCAAACACAAGCCUCGCCUGUUUACCAAAAACAUCGCCUCCUGCAACAUAACCAUGUAUAGGAGGUCCAGCCUGCCCAGUGACUACAAGUUCAACGGCCGCGGUAUUUUGACCGUGCAAAGGUAGCGCAAUCACUUGUCUUUUAAAUAGAGACCUGUAUGAAUGGCUAAACGAGGGCUUAACUGUCUCCCUUUUCAAGUCAGUGAAAUUGAUCUGCCCGUGCAGAAGCG
rnacentral:rRNA from 1 species